UUCUGCAAAGACUUGCUAGAGGCUGUGGACAUUCUGGAGAAGGAAACGCAGAGUGUUCCAAAGAGAUUACAGAUGAAAACCCUCACCUGAAAAGCUUAGAUAAGGGGCUGGUACUGACCGAGGUGCAGAUCCAGAAGGUGUUCACAAGCAUGGCUUGCUCAAGCUGGACCCCAUUGGAGCCAAGUUCGACUCCUAUGAACAUGAGGCACUGUUCCACACACCAGUAGAGGGCGAGGAGCCAGCACGGUGGUGCUGGUUAGCAAGGUGGGUUACAAGCUGCAGGGGCACACCCUCAGGCCUGCCCUGGUGGGGUGGUGAAGGAAGCAUAACUGCCUACUUCAGGGUCUUUCGCUUUUAAGUCACUUGCUGUAACUCUUGAAAGGCGGUCUAUCUUUUCUCCUCUGAGAGUCCAGCCUUGAUGGAAAGGUUAAAUGGCUGCAAAGAAUCAAGCUGGGUACACAGUUGCUUCUAGGAACUCUGGUCUGGGAGUACCACACGUUUAGUAGCUCCAUAUACUUCCAAAAGAGGGCAGAUGGGACAUUUGGAGUAUCACGAAUAACACUGUAUCUGCUUUAAACUCAUGAUUGCAAAGUACUUUAAACAAAAGUUUUUCAGGAACUGUCUGGCUGCCUGGCCACCCAUCUGUGCCAACGUCUGCAGCUCACUGCAGCACUGAGUCCUGGCACCUUUGGCCAUUGCUGGGUUCACUCUGAGAAGAAAAGGCCAGAGGGGAAACAUGUUUCUUGCUUAAAAAAAAAAAAAAAAAAAAAGGAUGCCUACCUUGAGAACAUACAAGUUCAUUUAUAGCUAGCAUCUAGAUGUC
rnacentral:lncRNA from 1 species